CAGCCGCCGCGGUAAUACAGAGGGUGCGAGCGUUAAUCGGAUUUACUGGGCGUAAAGCGUGCGUAGGCGGCUUUUUAAGUCGGAUGUGAAAUCCCUGAGCUUAACUUAGGAAUUGCAUUCGAUACUGGGAAGCUAGAGUAUGGGAGAGGAUGGUAGAAUUCCAGUUGUAGCGGUGAAAUGCGUAGAGAUCUGGAGGAAUACCGAUGGCGAAGGCAGCCAUCUGGCCUAAUACUGACGCUGAGGUACGAAAGCAUGGGGAGCAAACAGGAUUAGAUACCCGAGUAGUCCCUGUCUCUUAUAC
rnacentral:rRNA from 1 species